ensembl:snoRNA
UUGGCCUUGAAUCAGGGCCAGUAGUUUGUUGAAGCUGUUAGUUUCAAACAGGAGCUUAAAGAAUUAUCUUUUGAUGGUCUGUUGGCCAUUUCAGAACUUUGGAAAUAUAAUGGUGGAUUCAUUAGAAAGAAACAUAU